AAGGCGCUUUCGGGUGUCGCUGAUGGAUGGACCCGCGGUGCAUUAGCUAGUUGGUGAGGUAACGGCUCACCAAGGCCACGAUGCAUAGCCGACCUGAGAGGGUGAUCGGCCACAUUGGGACUGAGACACGGCCCAAACUCCUACGGGAGGCAGCAGUAGGGAAUCUUCGGCAAUGGACGAAAGUCUGACCGGGCAACGCCGCGUGAGUGAAGAAGGUUUUCGGAUCGUAAAACUCUGUUGUUAGAGAAGAACAAGGAUGAGAGUAACUGUUCAUCCCUUGACGGUAUCUAACCAGAAAGCCACGGCUAACUACGUGCCAGCAGCCGCGGUAAUACGUAGGUGGCAAGCGUUGUCCGGAUUUAUUGGGCGUAAAGCGAGCGCAGGCGGUUUCUUAAGUCUGAUGUGAAAGCCCCCGGCUCAACCGGGGAGGGUCAUUGGAAACUGGGAGACUUGAGUGCAGAAGAGGAGAGUGGAAUUCCAUGUGUAGCGGUGAAAUGCGUAGAUAUAUGGAGGAACACCAGUGGCGAAGGCGGCUCUCUGGUCUGUAACUGACGCUGAGGCU
rnacentral:rRNA from 1 species